AGAGUUUGAUCCUGGCUCAGAAUGAACGCUGGCGGCGCGCCUAAUACAUGCAAGUCGAGCGAGAAGACGUAGCAAUACGUUUGUAAAGCGGCGAACGGGUGAGGAAUACAUGGGUAACCUACCCUUGAGUGGGGAAUAACUAGCCGAAAGGUUAGCUAAUACCGCGUACGCUUCUUGGACUUCGGUUCAGGGAGGAAAGCGCUACCGUGGGUAGCGCGCUCUUGGAUGGGCUCAUGUCCUAUCAGCUUGUUGGUGAGGUAACGGCUCACCAAGGCUUCGACGGGUAGCUGGUCUGAGAGGACGAUCAGCCACACUGGCACUGCGACACGGGCCAGACUCCUACGGGAGGCAGCAGUAAGGAAUAUUGCGCAAUGGGCGAAAGCCUGACGCAGCGACGCCGCGUGGGGGAUGAAGGUCUUCGGAUUGUAAACCCCUUUCGGGAGGGAAGAUGGAAUGGGGUAACCCAUUUGGACGGUACCUCCAGAAGCAGCCACGGCUAACUUCGUGCCAGCAGCCGCGGUAAUACGAAGGUGGCAAGCGUUAUUCGGAUUUACUGGGCGUACAGGGAGCGUAGGCGGUUCGGUAAGCCCUUUGUGAAAUCUUCAGGCUUAACCUGGAAAAGUCGGAGGGGACUGCCGGGCUAGAGGACGGGAGAGGAGCGCGGAAUUCCCGGUGUAGCGGUGAAAUGCGUAGAGAUCGGGAGGAAGGCCGGUGGCGAAGGCGGCGCUCUGGAACGUUUCUGACGCUGAGGCUCGAAAGCGUGGGGAGCAAACAGGAUUAGAUACCCUGGUAGUCCACGCCUUAAACUAUGAAUACUAAGUGUCGG
rnacentral:rRNA from 1 species